rnacentral:rRNA from 1 species
UACGGGGGGGGUAAGCGUUGUUCGGAAUUACUGGGCGUAAAGGGCUCGUAGGCGGCCAACUAAGUCAUACGUGAAAUCCCUCAGCUUAACUGGGGAACUGCGUGUAAUACUGGAUGGCUUGGAUUUGGGAGAGGGAUGCGGAAUUCCAGGUGUAGCGGUGAAAUGCGCAGAUAUCGGGAGGAACACCCGUAGCGAAGGCGGCACUCUGGGCCGUGACUGACGCUGAGGAGCGAAAGCGUGGGGAGCAAACAGG